GCUUUUCCAGAUAGCGCAAGGAAGAGGUUCCAUGAUAUAGUAGAUAUGGCACAGAAGAGAGAAGCUAGUGCCAAACUUGCAGGGAUAAGUGAUGUGAAUCUCUCCCCUCUGCACGAGGCUGGUAUAGAAAGGAAGAAGGGAGGUAGAGGCCUCAGACGAUCAAAGAAGAACAAGUUCUGGAAGCAGAUCAAAUCUGGUCUGGGAAUAGGUGAGGGAUCGAGCUCUGGUUUGAACAACUCCAAAUGUCCG
rnacentral:lncRNA from 1 species